UUUUCAGCCUAGCAUUCUGCAGCUUCACAUAUAAAGCCUUAAACUCACAUUUCAAAGUGGUCUGAUCUGUUAGCCCAGCCACACAGCAGAAGCUGCAGCGGAAAUGGAUCAAGAGCAGGAUGGGAGGCAAGUCUGAAGGGUGUCCACCUUUGGCAAUUACCUGCUGGACCUCUCGACUCUGACGGAGGGAAUGGAUGAAAGAUUCAUGCUUCUGUCUCCAGUUGCUCUUCCGAGGAAGUUCAGCCUUAACCUUCAGCAGAGCAAGGAGUGAAACAAGAAAAAAGAAGACAGGUUACUGGAAAUGGGACCCAACACGGAAGAGAAACAGAAAUCCCAAAUCAACAGGUCUGUACCAGGCCUAGAGAAUAACCAGCCCAGACGGAGCAGGAGGGAAAAAAGCGGUGGGAAGGAGAUUUCCAGAACAUAAAAAAUUAAAUGGAUGGAUUA